UACGUAGGGCGCAAGCGUUGUCCGGAAUUAUUGGGCGUAAAGAGCUCGUAGGCGGCUUGUCGCGUCGACUGUGAAAUCCCGCGGCUCAACUGCGGGUCUGCAGUCGAUACGGGCAGGCUAGAGUUCGGUAGGGGAGACUGGAAUUCCUGGUGUAGCGGUGAAAUGCGCAGAUAUCAGGGGGAACACCGGUGGCGAAGGCGGAUCUCUGGGCCAUUACUGACGCUGAGGAGCGAAAGCGUGGGGAGCGAACAGG
rnacentral:rRNA from 1 species